AUUGAACGCUAGCGGCAGGCCUAACACAUGCAAGUCGAGCGAGCGGCGGACGGGUGAGUAAUGUAUGGGGACUGCCCGAUAGAGGGGGAUAACUACUGGAAACGGUAGCUAAUACCGCAUACUAUCGGAUAACCCAUAUGGGAUUAGCUAGUAGGUGAGGUAAUGGCUCACCUAGGCGACGAGCCCUAGCUGGUCUGACAGGAGGAUCAGCCACACUGGGACUGAGACACGGCCCAGACUCCUACGGUGGCAGCAGUGGGGAAUAUUGCACAAUGGGCGCAAUCCUGAGGCAGCCAUGCCGCGUGUAUGAAGAAGGCCCUAGGGUUUUAAAGUACUGUCAGGCGGGAGGCGUUACCGACAGAAGAAGCACCGGCUAACUCCGUGCCAGCAGCCGCGGUAAGUC
rnacentral:rRNA from 1 species